rnacentral:rRNA from 1 species
UACAGAGACUGCAAGCGUUUAUUCGGAUUCACUGGGCGUAAAGGGUGCGCAGGCGGCCAAGUGUGUUAGGCGUGAAAGCCCGGGGCUUAACCCCGGAAUUGCACCUAAAAACUACAUGGCUAGAGCAUUGGAGAGGGUAGCGGAAUUCACGGUGUAGCAGUGAAAUGCGUAGAUAUCGUGAGGAACACCAGAGGCGAAGGCGGCUACCUGGACAAUUGCUGACGCUCAGGCACGAAAGCGUGGGGAGCAAAAGGG